rnacentral:tRNA from 1 species
AGAGUAGCUCAGUGGUAGAGCACCGCUUUCGUAAAGCGAAGGUCACGGGUUCAAAUCCCGUCUCU